UGGCCUUGGGGCUGAUCGGGGCUCGGCCGAUCCUCCCACCCUUUGUGUACCUACCUCUGUUGCUUUGGCGGGCCGCGGUCCUCCGCGGCCGCCCCCCUCCCCGGGGGGGUGGCCAGCGCCCGCCAGAGGACCAUCAAACUCCAGUCAGUAAACGAUGCAGUCUGAAAAACAUUUAAUAAACUAAAACUUUCAACAACGGAUCUCUUGGUUCUGGCAUCGAUGAAGAACGCAGCGAAAUGCGAUAAGUAAUGUGAAUUGCAGAAUUCAGUGAAUCAUCGAAUCUUUGAACGCACAUUGCGCCCUUUGGUAUUCCGAAGGGCAUGCCUGUUCGAGCGUCAUUACAACCCUCAAGCUCUGCUUGGUAUUGGGCACCGUCCUUUGCGGGCGCGCCUCAAAGACCUCGGCGGUGGCGUCUUGCCUCAAGCGUAGUAGAACAUACAUCUCGCUUCGGAGCGCAGGGCGUCGCCCGCCGGACGAACCUUCUGAACUUUUCUCAAGGUUGACCUCGGAUCAGGUAGGGAUACCCGCUGAACUUAAGCAUAUCAAUAAGCGGAGGAAAA
rnacentral:rRNA from 1 species